UACGAAGGGUGCAAGCGUUACUCGGAAUUACUGGGCGUAAAGCGUGCGUAGGUGGUUUUUUAAGUCCGUUGUGAAAGCCCGUGGCUCAACUACGGGUCGGCCACCGAUACUGCUAUGGCUCGAGUUUGGUAGAGGCAGAUGGAAUUCCGGGUGUAGCGGUGGAAUGCGUAGAGAUCCGGAAGAACACCGGUGGCGAAGGCGGUCUGCUGGGCCAAGACUGACGCUGAGGCGCGACAGCGUGGGGAGCAAACAGG
rnacentral:rRNA from 1 species